AUGCCCCCGCCUCUCCCUCCCUCUUCCGUCAGCCCUGAUUGGCUCAGAGGCAUGCCAACAGUGGGGCUUGGUCACCGCUAUAUCCGAAGACAUCCGAGACAGAAGAAACGAAGGUGCCUUUUGAUUCAAAUUCUUAAUAUUGGGAAGGCAGUGAGCAGAAAUAAGAAAACAAGUGAAAUAUAUCCAAACGACAACUUUGGUAAAAGUGAAUUUAUUUGGAACAAAGAAGGUAAACCUUGCUCCUGAUUAUAUUUCUCCUGAUGGUGAUAUGGGUGGGAGGCAUUAUAUUAGAUAUAUUCAUCUCUGCCAAGGAAAGGUUCAUAGUGUGUGCAUGUUGGAAACAGUAAGAGUGUAUGGAUGGAAAAACUAAGGCAGUAUCUCCACUGACCAUUUAGUGCAGUUUCAAACUGGUAUUAUAUAUAGAUAAACAGAUAGUUUAUUUAAUGCUUAGGGGGGGCCCUUGUGGCACAGUGUGUUAAAGCGCUGAGCUGCUGAACUUGCAGACCAAAAGGUCCCAGGUUCAAAUCCCGGGAGCGGAAUGAGUGCCUGCUGUUAGCCCCAGCUCCUGCCAGCCUAGCAGUUCAAAAACAUGCAAAUGUGAGUAGAUCAAUAGGUACCACUCCGGCGAGUAGGUAACGGCGCUCCAUGCAGUCAUGCUGGCCACGUGACCUUGGAGAUGUCUAUGGACAACGCCGGCUCUUUGGCUUAGAAAUGGAGAUGAGCACCAACCCCCAGAGUCGGUCACGACUGGACUUAAAGUCAGGGGAAACCUUUACCUUUACCUUAAUGCUUAGACCAUAGGUCUUUCACAUAUAGGACAGACAAAAAAUUACAUAAAAAUCAUAUUAUAAAAUACAUCAGGCUAAAGCCACCCCUUUCUUGGUGUGAUCAGAAAUUGGUUUUAGCAAAUGGGAGGGGCAUUGCCAAAGUGUUGAUAUCAGAUACCCAUGCAACCUUCUAUAGGAGUGUUUCUCGAACUGUGUUCCUCAAGGUGUUUCAGACUUCAGUUCCCAGAAAACCCGGCCAGCUUAUCAGCAGUUAGAAAUUGUGGGAGAUGAAGUCGAAAACUUCUGGAGGAGCACUGUUUGAGGAACCUUUAUACUAUAAUUCCCCGAGGAAAUUAUUGAUUUUUAAAGUCAGAGAAAAAUCUGGGCUCAUGUCUAUGUGGCUCACUUUUGUGGCUAUUUGCUGUGUAGAUGCUCCGGUUUGAAGCUAACUUCAAAGUAGAUUACAUUGUCAAUGUAGAUGGGGCCAAUGACAGAAUAUGAAAACAAAGGCAGAGGGAGAAGAAAAUUAAAAUAGAAUUGUGAGGGCAGUCUGGGAAGUUGAUAAUGGUAUUUCCAUAUUUGAUGAUGCUUUGGGUUAGUAUACACUGACUACGUAUCCCAAAUUGGUCCAGAUGUCACUCCUGUCUGUCCAGAAUGUGGCCAGGAACUUUCAGCCUUAAACACAGGAUAAAACAGGUUAUCCUGAUUUUAUACAAUGCUACCAAAAGUUGAAGGUUCCUUGGAGUAAAGGUGUCCUUUCUGGAGGCUGAACCAAGUCCAUUCCAACUGGACCUUCAAGGCUCCGCUCCACCACUGCCCUGGUUUGGGAGCAGAGAGGGGGAAACACCUCGGCAGAACCUGAGGCCGGCCCAAAGCAGCAAUGUGUCAAAUGUGUCAAAUCAGUCCAUGUAGAUGGCCACCUGUUUCCCAGAGCCUACAUGGCCCACGAGAGC
ensembl:lncRNA